rnacentral:lncRNA from 1 species
UUAAAAUUAAAAUUAAAAAAAACUUUAAAUUAAAAAAAAUUAAAUUAAAAAAUCUUAAUUUAAAAAUUUUAAAAACUUCCAUAUUUAAAUUUUAAGUUUUUUUAAUUUAAAUUUUUUUGAUUUAAAGUUUUUAAAAUUUAAAUUUUUUUAAUUUUAAGUUUUUUUAAUUUUUAGAAUAUUUUAAAUAAAAUGAAGUUUAAAUUAAAUUUAAUUAAUUUUUAUAUUAAUUAUUUACACAUCAGACACAAAACGUCGUCAUUUUUGCAUUUUCUCACCACGUCAGCGUGCAAAACGAAGCCGUUUUGCACCCAACUCGCCGGAAAAUUGCCACAUCAGCCAUUCGGUCGGAUUUUUGCCAGAGUGGCACUUAAGUGUUCUACUUUACUCCGAAACUGGCACUUAAGUGUACCUUUCCGAAGUUAUAGUACUUAAGUGUCCUUCCAUGCCAAAUUAUGACACUUGAGCUGUUCUUCUACCCUAAGUUAACCACCCUUAGCCUUCUCAAGUUGCCGAAAUUCAGGAGGUUCUUCUUACCUGAGAAAUACUCUAUGAUAUUCCCGUGCUCCGAGGACUCCCCAUCCUUGCAAGUCUUGAGAAUACAGAGCUGUGGAGUAGAGCCAGACCAAGUCCUAGGUGGCAGGCGUUACUACGAAGUGAAAAGAAUUAUGGUAUUCCUUCAAUAUUUCAUUGCUUUGGUUUGGCUCUCUGUUCCUUUGAAUCGAAAAUUAGUUUGUAUUAUUAGCUAAGACACAAUUCUCAAUGGGAGCCACACGUGUUCUACAUCACGUGGCCCUCUCUCUUCCUUUCUCUCUCUCUAGUUCUCUUUCUUACUCUCUUCAACUAACGAUCUAUCUAUUCCAUUUUAUCCAUCCAGCAACAGUUGCCGCGAAGACUCCGUUUCAAGAAACAGAGAGCAUCGAAGGCUCUCGGUUAUUCUAGUUGAAUCAUUUCCUCUCACUUGGCUGCUCGUCGUCACCGCUUCCCAAUCACCACUUGUUCCGCUGCCGCGAAGAAGUUCUAUAAUGUCGGAGUGCUUGAACUUCGGUCACGACUGCCUACUUCGACGAUUCCAUCCCUUGAUGUUGCUUCUGUUAUUUCUUUACUCAUAUCCGAUCUCAAUUACUAUAGCUAAUCGUUCUCUAUUCAACUAAACCAUAUAUGCUCUGUUUUUUCGUUCCUAUUCUACU